rnacentral:rRNA from 1 species
UACGUAGGGGGCAAGCGUUGUCCGGAUUUAUUGGGCGUAAAGAGCGUGUAGGCGGCCAUGUAGGUCCGUUGUGAAAACUCGAGGCUCAACCUCGAGACGCCGAUGGAAACCAUGUGGCUAGAGUCCGGAAGAGGAGAGUGGAAUUCCUGGUGUAGCGGUGAAAUGCGCAGAUAUCAGGAAGAACACCCGUGGCUAAGGCGGCUCUCUAGUACGGUACUGACGCUGAGACGCGAAAGCGUGGGGAGCAAACCGG